UGGCGGCAUGCCUAACACAUGCAAGUCGGACGGCAGCAGGUCCUUCGGGAUGCUGGCGAGUGGCGGACGGGUGAGUAAUGCGUAGGAACCUAUCCUUUUGUGGGGGACAACCCAGGGAAACUUGGGCUAAUACCGCAUAAGCCCUGAGGGGGAAAGCGGGGGAUCUUCGGACCUCGUGCUGAAGGAGGGGCCUACGUCCGAUUAGCUAGUUGGUGGGGUAAAGGCCUACCAAGGCGACGAUCGGUAGCUGGUCUGAGAGGACGACCAGCCACACUGGGACUGAGACACGGCCCAGACUCCUACGGGAGGCAGCAGUGGGGAAUUUUUCGCAAUGGGGGCAACCCUGACGAAGCAAUGCCGCGUGGAUGAAGAAGGCCUUCGGGUUGUAAAGUCCUUUCGUGGGGGACGAAAAGGCGGAUCCGAAUACGGUCUGCUGUUGACGUGAACCCAAGAAGAAGCACCGGCUAACUCCGUGCCAGCAGCCGCGGUAAUACGGAGGGUGCGAGCGUUAAUCGGAAUUACUGGGCGUAAAGGGCGCGUAGGCGGUGGGUUACGUCUGCCGUGAAAUCCCCGGGCUCAACCUGGGAAUGGCGGUGGAAACGGGCUGACUGGAGUAUGGGAGAGGGUGAUGGAAUUCCAGGUGUAGCGGUGAAAUGCGUAGAGAUCUGGAGGAACACCAGUGGCGAAGGCGGUCACCUGGCCCAAUACUGACGCUGAGGCGCGAAAGCGUGGGGAGCAAACAGGAUUAGA
rnacentral:rRNA from 1 species